AUCCAACUGACAAAUCCUAAAUAGGACGAAACGCGCUUCCUGCAU
rnacentral:hammerhead_ribozyme from 1 species